AAAUACUCGUUACAAGGCACACAACCAGGAGAUGAACACAGAGCAAAGAUGGAAACAAAACAGAGAAGAGGGUGGGGCCAUCAAGAUGGCCGGGAGGCAGGCAACAGAGAGGAGUUUGGUGAGCAGGAUGGGACAAAACUUAACCGGCUGGAGGCUACUACUGCAUCUGAGAGAUCCUGGACCCCUGACAAGAGCCAGCAGGAGAUUAGCAGGAGAAAAUAUUGGUGAAGCUAGCUUCCUGACCUCAGCAACUCUGGGAUAUUUGCUUUUCAGGUUCUGACCCUCCUCAGGAUUGUAACUGGAGAUUCAGAUGUGGCUGAGAGCACAAAUAUGGUAUCUCAAGAGCAAGCUGAUGCUGAAGUAGCUGCUCCCCUCCCAUGACUAAGAACCCAUCUCGAUAAUCAUCUCUUACAUGUGAAUCAGGCUUUCCAUGUCUGCACACGCAUCCCAGGGGGCCCUCACAGCAUCCUGGGAUACAGGCUGGUGCUACUGUCCCCAUCUGCCAGCAGAGGAAGCCGAGGCUCAGAGACUGAGUGACUAUCCUAGGGUCACACAGCUACUGAACAGGGUUGUUAGAACCAGUGAGAUCUGCUGACCCGCGCCAAGCUCACUCUCCAAGAUUCAUGCUGCUCAAGCUGGCUGGACACCUCCCCGGGGAGCAGGAGAAGCCCAGAGAACACGGAGCAUAGAGUAAAUGGGCUCACAUUCCUUGCGGACCCAAUUUGGCUUGAUGUUAAGUAAAUUUAAAAUUUUUAUAUAAAAACUAACAGAUAAGUUCUGGAGUAAGACAAAAGUGUGACUUGUUUUAGUUAAAUGUGAGUUAUCGAACUUUUGAUAAUACAAGUAACAACAUUGGUUCAUUAAUUGUGAUAAAUGUACCAUAGUGAUGUAAGGUGUUACUAAUAAUGGAAACCAGGUGUGGGUAUAAGGAGCUCUGUACUAUCUUUGCAAUAAUACUGUAAAUCUAAAA